rnacentral:rRNA from 1 species
AGCUCCAAUAGCGUAUACUAAAGUUGUUGCAGUUAAAAAGCUCGUAGUUGAAUUUCUGGUCUUGGACAGCGGUCUGCCUCAAACGAGGUACGCACCAUCUAUCCGAGUCCAUCCUCGGGGAAAACAUGUCUGUGAUUAAGUUCAUGGGCAUGGGAUCCCCGUCAUUUACUGUGAGCAAAAUAGAGUGUUCAAAGCAGGCUUAUGCCGUUGAAUACAUUAGCAUGGAAUAAUAAGAUAAGACCUUGGUCUAUUUUGUUGGUUUGUACUCCAAGGUAAUGAUUAAUAGGGAUAGUUGGGGGUAUUCGUAUUCAAUUGUCAGAGGUGAAAUUCUUGGAUUUAUGGAAGACGAACUACUGCGAAAGCAUUUACCAAGGAUGUUUUCAUUAAUCAAGAACGAAAG